UACGUAGGGGGCUAGCGUUGUCCGGAAUCAUUGGGCGUAAAGCGCGUGUAGGCGGCCCGGUAAGUCCGCUGUGAAAGUCGGGGGCUCAACCCUCGGAUGCCGGUGGAUACUGUCGGGCUCGAGUACGGAAGAGGCGAGUGGAAUUCCUGGUGUAGCGGUGAAAUGCGCAGAUAUCAGGAGGAACACCAAUUGCGAAGGCAGCUCGCUGGGACGUUACUGACGCUGAGGCGCGAAAGCUAGGGGAGCAAACGGG
rnacentral:rRNA from 1 species